rnacentral:tRNA from 1 species
GCUUGGGUGACUCAGUCGGUUGAGUGUCUGACUUCGGCUCAGGUCAUGAUCUCACAGCUCAUGGGUUCGAGCCCCACAUCAGGCU